rnacentral:lncRNA from 1 species
UGAAUCUGCAGGGAGGUUGGCUUGCUUGUGUUUUAGUCUCGUCCACCAUAUGAGAACAGGAGGCAGAAGAUAUUGUCCAGCAGAUGAACCAAUUGCAGCAAACUGAAGCGAGCUCAAAGCAACACAUGGCAGCUGCAGAAGCCAUGCUGAAGGAAGUAGAGAGUGCCACCUUCUCUCAGACGCGAGUACCGGUGUUGGUGGAUACUGGAGCUGAGUCAAUGCUGACCCACAGCAACCCACAUGGUUUCACAGGAGCCACUGCACAAAGAGAGGGGCAUGGAGAUCAGUACAUUAUGGUUCAGAAGCCCAAGGUGACUUUGGGCAUCCAGCAUUGGCCCCAUGUCCCUAUGAUGUUUAUAUCUCCUUGUUGCUGAAUACACACGGGGGUGGACAUACUGACUGGUGCAAGUUAAACACCACACAGGAAGAAAUUCAUUUGUGGAUUUGCAUAAUAACAUGUCUUGUCUGAGGACAUCCCCAUCCUGCCACACAUAAAGAGGAUUGUGUGUGCGAAGCAGUACCAGCUGCCUGAGGGUCAUGAGGAAAUAAGAUGGACUGUUUUGAGGUUAGAAGAAGCAGCGUGAUACAUCCUGCACAAAGUCCUUUCAAAAUUCCCCUUUUCGGCCUGUGCAGAAGCCAAAUGGGACUUAGAGAAUGACUGUGAACUACCUGGAAUUGAACAGUGUCUCCUCCAUUGCACACAGCCGUACCUAAUCUUGCUGACUUGAUAGACUGGCUCAGCCUGACAUUGGGUUAAUAGCCCUGCAUAGCGGACCUGGCCAAUGCAUUCUUCUCCAUCGCUAUCCUGCCUGAGCAUCGGGACCAGUUUGCCUUCACCUGGGAGGGCAGACAAUAGACUUUUCAAGUGUUUUCACAAUAGUAUUUGCAUAGCCCUACUUUGUGCCAUGCCCUGAUGGCCAAGGAUUUGGUCACAUGGACCAAGCCACACUCGGUGUCUUUUGUUCCAUUAUAUUAAUGUUAUUACUUCAACCUCUGAUUGCCUUACAGAUUUGGAAGCUGAUGCAGGUAGUCUAAAAGAAGCUUUCCUGACCUGGG